AACGAACGCUGGCGGCAGGCCUAACACAUGCAAGUCGAACGCCCGUAGCAAUACGGGAGUGGCAGACGGGUGAGUAACGCGUGGGAACGUGCCCUUCGGUUCGGAAUAACUCAGGGAAACUUGAGCUAAUACCGGAUACGUCCGUAAGGAGAAAGAUUUAUCGCCGAAGGAUCGGCCCGCGUCGGAUUAGCUAGUUGGUGAGGUAACGGCCCACCAAGGCGACGAUCCGUAGCUGGUCUGAGAGGANGAUCAGCCACACUGGGACUGAGACACGACCCAGACUCCUACCGGGAGGC
rnacentral:rRNA from 1 species